GAUGAACGCUAGCUACAGGCUUAACACAUGCAAGUCGAGGGGAAACGGCAUUGAGUGCUUGCACUCUUUGGACGUCGACCGGCGCACGGGUGAGUAACGCGUAUCCAACCUUCCCAUUACUGUGGGAUAACCUGCCGAAAGGCAGACUAAUACCGCAUAGUCUUCGAUGACGACAUCAGAUUUGAAGUAAAGAUUUAUCGGUAAUGGAUGGGGAUGCGUCUGAUUAGCUUGUUGGCGGGGUAACGGCCCACCAAGGCUACGAUCAGUAGGGGUUCUGAGAGGAAGGUCCCCCACAUUGGAACUGAGACACGGUCCAAACUCCUACGGGAGGCAGCAGUGAGGAAUAUUGGUCAAUGGACGGAAGUCUGAACCAGCCAAGUAGCGUGCAGGAUGACGGCCCUAUGGGUUGUAAACUGCUUUUGUAUGGGGAUAAAGUUAGGGACGUGUCCCUAUUUGCAGGUACC
rnacentral:rRNA from 1 species